AGAAAAUAGGUGUUACUUUACUUUUUGGUAGAGGUGGGUGCUUAUCAUUGAUCAAGAUCAGUUGUUCAGCUGGACGUGAAAACAUGCAGAUAAAAAGCCUCACUAGAAGCGCAGAAUCUGAUGCUAAAUUAAAUUAAGAUGCAAAAUUGAUCUCCAGAAUCUGAUGCUAAAUUAAAUUAAAUUAAGCAGCAACAUAUAUUCCUGCCCUGUCUCUAUGAUAUUCCACCUAUAAGCACAAGUGGCAACACUGUUCUGUAACUAGCACAGCUCAAUCCACAGUGGAAUGCGUUUAGUUGCUACUCGUACAUGAGUCGGGGAAAUUAAAGUUCGGUUCUGUAUAUAAAGGAAAAAUAUAGAGAGGGUUAAAUAUAGAGAGUCUCUUGUUCUUCUCUUGUUGGUUUGAUUGUGAAUCCUGAUUUUCUUUUUUCAACGAAUCGAGGAUUCAUAGUCUAGUUGGGUGGUCAGUUAUGUUAAUCAAUAUGGUGUGGAAAAGCCUCACCAGAUCUUGCCCAAACUCCUUUUAGUUUAUACUGAAUCUACAUCUGACCUAAAUACUAGAUGCAGUACUGGCAACUGGCAGAUAAGUUUGGUGCACUUCAUCUCCUAACAAUCUGAUAGUAGCAGAAGAUUUAUUAUUGUUGGCUGCCAGAUCAGGCUGUGUGCAUCAUGUACAAGUUGAUCUCCUUCAGAAUAAUAAAAAAACAUAAGAAACGAGAAGGAAAUCACAACGUGCAUGUACUCCUUCAGGGAAAAAAAUGCUCACAUAAACGAGAACAUAUGGAUAUGGGUAGAGUUUCCAUGUUUUGUUUGAUGGAUAUGGUAGCUCCAAAACAAGCUAUUGUAUUUGCUCCUUUCCCAGCUUAACUUAACCUUUGUCACAUACCAGAAAAGGAUACUGGCUUAACUUAAGCAUCACUGUAGUUUGUAGACCUUUCAUAAUCAUUAAUCUACUUUUAUUUUGAUGUAGUUAGAGCAGCAAAUUGCAGCCUUGGGCACCCUGCAUGAGUGAAUUCUGGGCACCUGAAAACACCUGGGCACCUUUCAUAAUCAUUAAUCUACUUAAGCAGCACUGCACUCUCCCAGCUUUGUUUUCAUAAUCAUUAAUCUACUUCUAAUGCACCUAAAAUUUUUCAGGUACCUCCUUUACAGAGAGGACGACAUUGUGGGCACCCUGCACGAGUGAAUUCGAACAGUCAGGAAGUCAUCAGCUGCUUUAAUGCAGGAGAAGAGGAUGUUUAGAGUUUCCAUGAUAUCGGAUAAACCUUGAAAUAUAACUCUUUUAUGGUGUGAUGAUAGAUUUUUGCCUCGAACAUCAUGAACUUGAUAUGAUUGUUGCACGCUUUCAGUCGUGAUGCGAUUCAGUAAACUUGUGGAGCUGAAGUGCUGCCCUUAAUUUUCGUCAAAUCGCUUCCCUGGCUGCCAAGCCUUGCGUUUUUUGGAUUUUCAGUCCAUAUGUAUAUGCAAAUCUUAACGCAGACUGAGCUUCUCUUUGUUUGUGUUUUGGGGAGCAUCUGGGUAUGGUUGGAUGUGGUUGAGAUCCUUUGCAGUAUCGUACGAGUCCUGAGCAUCUGGGUAUGUUGUUAAAAGUGCACUGUGUGUUGCUGAAAUUUUGCUGUUGUUGAAAGUUUGUACUUUUGAAAUUUUUGGCUAUGGCAGCCAGUUUACAAGGGUGGGAGAAAAACAACAAUUCAAGCGGAGGUUGGGAAGCGGAAUGCAAAUACAUUCCUUGACAUGUAUUUUGGUUGUAGGCCAGUGUAAUAGAAGUGUAAAAUGUUAUAAAGGUAGCAAAAAACAACGUUCCAAACGCAGCCUUAGGAGAGAAAACUGCCUUUUUCACUUCACCGGCUGAAGAAACUGACGCUAGGAAGCAUCGAUGUAAAGCACCCUCCGUUGCUAAGACAAGAUUUAUUUUGAGACACAACACUCUCUUAGCACUAGUGAUAAGCACUCACCACCGUUGUAUAUGGCCUAACCGGACGCCCGUUCACUCUCGAUUGCCAACACACGCUGCAGCAGCUAGGGUUGGCAGCCGACGCCGCCCGAUCCGGCGACCCGCCGACGCCGCCCCCUCAGCCCCCAGGCAAGUCAUCAUCAAUAUAAUGUCCAAUGGCGAUGCUGGUGCUUCGGCAUGCUGUGACAGCAGCCAGCAGCCUCCACUCAAUCCUAUGGAUGGGUCCUAGGCCGCCGCACCUUUCGCCAUGGUCCAGCCAGCUGCCAUGAAGGAUGCCUCUUGAGAGCAAGCUGUUUGGGAUGGGCGUUCAUGCGCCCAUCCAAUGGGCGUUCAUGCGCCCAUCCAAUCAUGCUGACUACACCCACCCAUGGCGUUUGCCCGUUCUUGGCAAAAGAAGAAGAGACACCCAAGUCAUGAGUGCACCCAUCCAUGGUGUUUGCCCGUUCUUGGCAAAAGAAGAAGAGACGAGGUAGAGGAGCCCACAAUGCUAUAUGUUGUAUUUUAAUUUUAUUUUUAUUUACUGAUGCCUGGUGGUGAUGUUUGCCCAUUCUUGGCAAAAGAACAAGAGAUGUAAUUAUUUAUACUCCAUUUAGAGGUAUAUAGAUGCUGCACUUGAACGAA